GGGUUGUGAGGUUAAGCGACCAAGCGUACACGGUGGAUGCCCUGGCAGUCAGAGGCGAUGAAGGACGUGCUAAUCUGCGAAAAGCGCCGGUAAGGUGAUAUGAACCGUUAUAACCGGCGAUGUCCGAAUGGGGAAACCCAGUGUGACUCGUCACACUAUCAUUACGUGAAUACAUAGCGUAAUGAGGCGAACCGGGGGAACUGAAACAUCUAAGUACCCCGAGGAAAAGAAAUCAACCGAGAUUCCCCCAGUAGCGGCGAGCGAACGGGGAGGAGCCCAGAGCCUGAAUCAGCAUGUGUGUUAGUGGAAGCGUCUGGAAAGGCGCGCGAUACAGGGUGAGAGCCCCGUACACAAAAGCGCAUAUGCUGUGAGCUCGAUGAGUAGGGCGGGACACGUGGUAUCCUGUCUGAAUAUGGGGGGACCAUCCUCCAAGGCUAAAUACUCCUGACUGACCGAUAGUGAACCAGUACCGUGAGGGAAAGGCGAAAAGAACCCCGGCGAGGGGAGUGAAAGAGAACCUGAAACCGUGUACGUACAAGCAGUGGGAGCAUGAGUUUACUCAUGUGACUGCGUACCUUUUGUAUAAUGGGUCAGCGACUUAUAUUCUGUAGCAAGGUUAACCGCAUAGGGGAGCCGAAGGGAAACCGAGUCUUAAUUGGGCGUUAAGUUGCAGGGUAUAGACCCGAAACCCGGUGAUCUAGCCAUGGGCAGGUUGAAGGUUGGGUAACACUAACUGGAGGACCGAACCGACUAAUGUUGAAAAAUUAGCGGAUGACCUGUGGCUGGGGGUGAAAGGCCAAUCAAACCGGGAGAUAGCUGGUUCUCCCCGAAAGCUAUUUAGGUAGCGCCUCGUGAAUUCAUCUCCGGGGGUAGAGCACUGUUUCGGCUAGGGGGCCAUCCCGGCUUACCAACCCGAUGCAAACUGCGAAUACCGGAGAAUGUUAUCACGGGAGACACACGGCGGGUGCUAACGUCCGUCGUGAAGAGGGAAACAACCCAGACCGCCAGCUAAGGUCCCAAAGUCAUGGUUAAGUGGGAAACGAUGUGGGAAGGCCCAGACAGCCAGGAUGUUGGCUUAGAAGCAGCCAUCAUUUAAAGAAAGCGUAAUAGCUCACUGGUCGAGUCGGCCUGCGCGGAAGAUGUAACGGGGCUAAACCAUGCACCGAAGCUGCGGCAGCGACACGUAAGUGUUGUUGGGUAGGGGAGCGUUCUGUAAGCCGUUGAAGGUGGCCUGUGAGGGUUGCUGGAGGUAUCAGAAGUGCGAAUGCUGACAUAAGUAACGAUAAAGCGGGUGAAAAGCCCGCUCGCCGGAAGACCAAGGGUUCCUGUCCAACGUUAAUCGGGGCAGGGUGAGUCGACCCCUAAGGCGAGGCCGAAAGGCGUAGUCGAUGGGAAACAGGUUAAUAUUCCUGUACUUGGUGUUACUGCGAAGGGGGGACGGAGAAGGCUAUGUUGGCCGGGCGACGGUUGUCCCGGUUUAAGCGUGUAGGUGUGUGUUCCAGGUAAAUCCGGUUCACUUUAACACUGAGGCGUGACGACGAGGCACUACGGUGCUGAAGCAACAAAUGCCCUGCUUCCAGGAAAAGCCUCUAAGCAUCAGGUAACAUCAAAUCGUACCCCAAACCGACACAGGUGGUCAGGUAGAGAAUACCAAGGCGCUUGAGAGAACUCGGGUGAAGGAACUAGGCAAAAUGGUGCCGUAACUUCGGGAGAAGGCACGCUGACAUGUAGGUGAAGUGAUUUACUCAUGGAGCUGAAGUCAGUCGAAGAUACCAGCUGGCUGCAACUGUUUAUUAAAAACACAGCACUGUGCAAACACGAAAGUGGACGUAUACGGUGUGACGCCUGCCCGGUGCCGGAAGGUUAAUUGAUGGGGUCAGCGCAAGCGAAGCUCCUGAUCGAAGCCCCGGUAAACGGCGGCCGUAACUAUAACGGUCCUAAGGUAGCGAAAUUCCUUGUCGGGUAAGUUCCGACCUGCACGAAUGGCGUAAUGAUGGCCAGGCUGUCUCCACCCGAGACUCAGUGAAAUUGAACUCGCUGUGAAGAUGCAGUGUACCCGCGGCAAGACGGAAAGACCCCGUGAACCUUUACUAUAGCUUGACACUGAACAUUGAGCCUUGAUGUGUAGGAUAGGUGGGAGGCUUUGAAGCGUGGACGCCAGUCUGCGUGGAGCCAACCUUGAAAUACCACCCUUUAAUGUUUGAUGUUCUAACGUGGACCCGUAAUCCGGGUUGCGGACAGUGUCUGGUGGGUAGUUUGACUGGGGCGGUCUCCUCCUAAAGAGUAACGGAGGAGCACGAAGGUUGGCUAAUCCUGGUCGGACAUCAGGAGGUUAGUGCAAUGGCAUAAGCCAGCUUGACUGCGAGCGUGACGGCGCGAGCAGGUGCGAAAGCAGGUCAUAGUGAUCCGGUGGUUCUGAAUGGAAGGGCCAUCGCUCAACGGAUAAAAGGUACUCCGGGGAUAACAGGCUGAUACCGCCCAAGAGUUCAUAUCGACGGCGGUGUUUGGCACCUCGAUGUCGGCUCAUCACAUCCUGGGGCUGAAGUAGGUCCCAAGGGUAUGGCUGUUCGCCAUUUAAAGUGGUACGCGAGCUGGGUUUAGAACGUCGUGAGACAGUUCGGUCCCUAUCUGCCGUGGGCGCUGGAAGAUUGAGGGGGGCUGCUCCUAGUACGAGAGGACCGGAGUGGACGCAUCACUGGUGUUCGGGUUGUCAUGCCAAUGGCACUGCCCGGUAGCUAAAUGCGGAAAAGAUAAGUGCUGAAAGCAUCUAAGCACGAAACUUGCCCCGAGAUGAGUCUUCCCUGAGACUUUGAGUCUCCUGAAGGAACGUUGAAGACGACGACGUUGAUAGGCCGGGUGUGUAAGCGCAGCGAUGCGUUGAGCUAACCGGUACUAAUGAACCGUGAGGCUUAACCUUACAACGCCGAAGCUGUU
rnacentral:rRNA from 1 species